GAUGAACGCUAGCUACAGGCUUAACACAUGCAAGUCGCAGGGUAACAUGAGGAAAGCUUGCUUUCCUUGAUGACGACUGGCGCACGGGUGAGUAACGCGUAUCCAACCUUCCCAUAACUACGGGAUAACCCGUUGAAAGACGGCCUAAUACCGUAUGAUAUCGUUUGCUGACAUCAAAUAACGAUUAAAGGUUUAGCGGUUAUGGAUGGGGAUGCGUCUGAUUAGCUUGUUGGCGGGGUAACGGCCCACCAAGGCAACGAUCAGUAGGGGUUCUGAGAGGAAGGUCCCCCACAUUGGAACUGAGACACGGUCCAA
rnacentral:rRNA from 1 species